rnacentral:rRNA from 1 species
CUACGGGUUGCACCAGUGAGGAAUAUUGCACAAUGGGGGGAACCCUGAUGCAGCAACGCCGCGUGGAGGAUGACGCAUUUCGGUGUGUAAACUCCUUUUAUAUGUCAAGAAAAUGACGGUAGCAUAUGAAUAAGCACCGGCUAACCCCGUGCCAGCAGCCGCGGUAAUACGGAGGGUGCAAGCGUUACUCGGAAUCACUGGGCGUAAAGGACGCGUAGGCGGGUUGGAAGGUCAGGUGUGAAAUCCUACAGCUUAACUGUAGAACUGCACUUGAAACUUCUAAUCUAGAGUAUGGGAGGGGGAGAUGGAAUUAGUGGUGUAGGGGUAAAAUCCGUAGAUAUCACUAGGAAUACCUAAAGCGAAGGCGAUCUCCUGGAACAUUACUGACGCUAAGGCGUGAAAGCGUGGGGAGCAAACAGGAUUAGAUACCCCCGUAGUC